GACGAACGCUGGCGGCGUGCUUAACACAUGCAAGUCGAGCGGAAAGGCCACUUCGGUGGUACUCGAGCGGCGAACGGGUGAGUAACACGUGAGUAAUCUGCCCCUCACUUUGGGAUAGCCACCGGAAACGGUGAUUAAUACCGGAUAUGACCAUAUGUCGCAUGGCGUGUGGUGGAAAGUUUUUCGGUGUGGGAUGUGCUCGCGGCCUAUCAGCUUGAUGGUGAGGUAAUGGCUCACCAUGGCUUCGACGGGUAGCCGGCCUGAGAGGGUGACCGGUCACACUGGGACUGAGACACGGCCCAGACUCCUACUGGAGGCAGCAGUGGGGAAUAUUGGACAAUGGGCGGAAGCCUGAUCCAGCAACGCCGCGUGAGGGAUGACGGCCUUCGGGUUGUAAACCUCUUUCAGUACCGACGAAGCGCAAGUGACGGUAGGUACAGAAGAAGCACCGGCCAACUACGUG
rnacentral:rRNA from 1 species